ACAUGCCAUCAGAUGGGGGCUGCUGUGUGGACAGUAUCAUCAGUUCUGACUCCAACUGUGGACUGGAUGGUGAGGGACACAGCAACAGGGACAGUGGAGAUUUGAGUCUCUGGACCCAAGAGUCUUCAGUAACUGGGACCUGAGCUGAGGCAGCUGAAAUAAAGAGGCAAAGAUCCUACAUCAUCUCCAGGAAUCUUCAUUAGAAGG